ACAUGCAGUCGAACGAGUUCUCGUUGAUGAUCGGUGCUUGCACCGAGAUUCAACAUGGAACGAGUGGCGGACGGGUGAGUAACACGUGGGUAACCUGCCCUUAAGUGGGGGAUAACAUUUGGAAACAGAUGCUAAUACCGCAUAGAUCCAAGAACCGCAUGGUUCUUGGCUGAAAGAUGGCGUAAGCUAUCGCUUUUGGAUGGACCCGCGGCGUAUUAGCUAGUUGGUGAGGUAAUGGCUCACCAAGGCGAUGAUACGUAGCCGAACUGAGAGGUUGAUCGGCCACAUUGGGACUGAGACACGGCCCAAACUCCUACGGGAGGCAGCAGUAGGGAAUCUUCCACAAUGGACGCAAGUCUGAUGGAGCAACGCCGCGUGAGUGAAGAAGGCUUUCGGGUCGUAAAACUCUGUUGUUGGAGAAGAAUGGUCGGCAGAGUAACUGUUGUCGGCGUGACGGUAUCCAACCAGAAAGCCACGGCUAACUACGUGCCAGCAGCCGCGGUAAUACGUAGGUGGCAAGCGUUAUCCGGAUUUAUUGGGCGUAAAGCGAGCGCAGGCGGUUUUUUAAGUCUGAUGUGAAAGCCCUCGGCUUAACCGAGGAAGCGCAUCGGAAACUGGGAAACUUGAGUGCAGAAGAGGACAGUGGAACUCCAUGUGUAGCGGUGAAAUGCGUAGAUAUAUGGAAGAACACCAGUGGCGAAGGCGGCUGUCUGGUCUGUAACUGACGCUGAGGCUCGAAAGCAUGGGUAGCGAACAGGAUUAGAUACCCUUGGUAGUCCAUGCCGUAAACGAUGAAUGCUAGGUGUUGGAGGGUUUCCGCCCUUCAGUGCCGCAGCUAACGCAUUAAGCAUUCCGCCUGGGGAGUACGACCGCAAGGUUGAAACUCAAAGGAAUUGACGGGGGCCCGCACAAGCGGUGGAGCAUGUGGUUUAAUUCGAAGCAACGCGAAGAACCUUACCAGGUCUUGACAUCUUUUGAUCACCUGAGAGAUCAGGUUUCCCCUUCGGGGGCAAAAUGACAGGUGGUGCAUGGUUGUCGUCAGCUCGUGUCGUGAGAUGUUGGGUUAAGUCCCGCAACGAGCGCAACCCUUAUGACUAGUUGCCAGCAUUUAGUUGGGCACUCUAGUAAGACUGCCGGUGACAAACCGGAGGAAGGUGGGGAUGACGUCAAAUCAUCAUGCCCCUUAUGACCUGGGCUACACACGUGCUACAAUGGAUGGUACAACGAGUUGCGAGACCGCGAGGUCAAGCUAAUCUCUUAAAGCCAUUCUCAGUUCGGACUGUAGGCUGCAACUCGCCUACACGAAGUCGGAAUCGCUAGUAAUCGCGGAUCAGCACGCCGCGGUGAAUACGUUCCCGGGCCUUGUACACACCGCCCGUCACACCAUGAGAGUUUGUAACACCCGAAGCCGGUGGCGUAACCCUUUUAGGGAGCGAGCCGUCUAAGGUGGGACAAAUGAUUAGGGUGA
rnacentral:rRNA from 2 species